GUGCCCUGAAAGUUAAACGACAUUCUGUAAAACGAACCGCAAACAAGUACACGUACUGUGUUCAUUGCCGGGGGAUGUUUAUUCGGGAGGAACUCUGGAGGCACACGAAAAAAUGCUCAGCCAAAAGAGACCAUCAGGAAGCACUGGGAGCACAGGGUCCUGCUGAAGUGGCCAAGGCUGCAAUUCCAGUGUGCUCUUCUGUGUGUGAUUCACAGAGUUUCCAGAGUAAGAGUGUGCCUGAUUUACCUGAAUGCCUGGACAAAGAUUUGUUGCGAGGUAACGAGUUCGUCCCUGAAUCACAGUCUGACUUGAACUCAAAAACUGAACAGGAUUUAGAAAGGACUAACAGCAACACUACUGAGAACUCUCUGGAGCCUUGCAUGACCACUGAGAGGAAGUCUUCUAGUCUGAACAUCACAGCAGAAGAUUCACUCAUUCACAAUCUGUCCUCCUCAUCUGACUUAAGCCCCAGCAGCAUCACUAAAGCAGAGAACGAGAACACCACAAUUAAAACAGAAGAGAGAGAUGCAUCCAUCCCAGAGGAUACAGCGAGUGAUUCAGUCUUACCUUCAAAGGGCAUCACCACUAGAGGUGGUGAAAAUUUCUGUUUUGUUUGUGGAAAGCCACAAAUCAAAAUAGCUCGACAUUUUAUAGUGCAUAAGCGUGACAAUGCUGAAAUUGCACGAGCACUCAGUUUACCAGCUCACUCCAAGAAACGAAAGGAAUUGCUGCAGAUGUUGCGAAACAAAGGCAACUUUAUGCACAACAAUGAUGUGCUGAAGAAAGGAUCGGGUGCCCUGAAAGUUAAACGCCGUUCUGUAAAACAAGCCUCCAACAAGUACACGUACUGUGUUUAUUGCCGGGGGAUGUUUAUUCGCCAGGAACUCAAGAGGCACAUGAAAAAUUGCUCAGCCAAAAGAGACCAUCUGGGAGCACUGGGUCCUGCUGAAGUGGCCAAGGCUGUAAUUCCAGUGUGCUCUGCUGUGUUGGAAUCUCACAGUUUCCACAAAAAGAGUGUGCCUGGUUUAUCUGAAAGCUGUGAACAAGAAUUGCCAUCGGUUGAAGAGUUUGUCCCUGAAUCGCAGUCUGGCUUGAACUCAAACACAGAAUUGGAUUUAGAAAGGUCCACCAGCAACACUACAGAGAACUUGCUGGAGCCUUGCAUGACCAGUGAGAAAAAGGCCUCCAGCCUGAACAUCACAGCAGGAGAUUCACUCAUUCACAAUCUGUCCUUCUCACCUGACUUAAGCCCCAGCAGCUUUAUUGAAGCAGAGGACGAGAACACCAC
rnacentral:lncRNA from 1 species